rnacentral:rRNA from 1 species
UGUUUCCUACGGGGGGCAGCAGUGGGGAAUAUUGCACAAUGGGGGAAACCCUGAUGCAGCAACGCCGCGUGAAGGAAGACGGUUUUCGGAUUGUAAACUUCUUUUCUUAGUGAAGAAGCAAGUGACGGUAGCUAAGGAAUAAGCAUCGGCUAGCUACGUGGCAGCAGCCGCGGUAAUACGUAGGAUGCGAGCGGUAUCCGGAAUUGCUGGGUGUAAAGGGAGCGCAGGCGGG